AGCUCCAAAUUCCACUAAUUCCCUGAAUGGUGAUAUGGGGUUUUGGUGGAACCUAUCACACAUUAGCAUCAUAAUUAACUCAAUCACAUAACCAUAAUUCUAAAAGCUAUCUCCUAAAUCAUGUUCCACUAGUUAUUCCUAACUAGCUUCCAAUUACCAUCAAGUGGUUAAUUAUUUGCACUAUUAUAAUCACACCAAAAUGAAUAAACUACCUCAACUACAAAACACUCAUAAAUCUGACUAUUAAUCAUUCUCAACAACUAAAAUAUCAACUCAAUUUAAAUUCUCACCUUGUUAGAUUUGUAAUUGAAUAUCUCCUCAAGAAUUCUCAAACUAUUAUGAAGGUCUUUCUUUCUCUCUCUAAAACCCUAGUUAGUGAGAGAAAGUAUUGAUCUAAGACAUUUCAAGAGUUUUAAGGUGAAAGAGUGAAAGAGCAUAAGAGGUUGUAUAAAAAAAAUGCACAAAAGCAUGAAAAUGAAGGCUAACUUGAGAGGGUUAUGGAAGCUUGAAGAGUGCUCCCAUGGAAGGUGAAGAAAUGUGGGAUGGGAGGAAGAAAAAG
rnacentral:lncRNA from 1 species